CCCAUGUCAUUUACGUACUACAGUGAGAAGUAUUAUCCACGAUCUUAUAAACUUAUGGAAGAGAUAGAUACGUAUCCAUAAUAAUAACACUGUUAGAAAAUGUUACGCAGUAAAUGGAGGAAAAACAAAAAACAGAAACGCCAGAGCAGGGAACAGAGUGAUUCUAAGUUCAAUGCACGGAAGAACGCAAGGGGCUUUUGGCCUAACUCCUGGGAAUGAUAUGGAGAAUGACUAUGGGGAAGCAGAACAAAAAUAUGAGAUUUUGAGGGAAAGAAGGUUGGAAGAAGACGAGUGAAUGAGAAGAAGCCUCAAGAGGAUUUAAUGAGAUUUCUGAGUGCCAGUCCUAAGAGAUGUGAACUAGAGGCAGUGGCAGUUUGAUGAUGAACUGAUUGGGUAGGUUGAGUUGUAGCUAAGUUUCUGGGGCGCUGGAAGAAAAAGAGGAAGAUAACCUGGGGUUGGUGCUCAGGUGGGCGUCUCUUAUGGUAACAAGGAUACAGGAAGGAAUGUGGCACUCAAAUGGUGUUAGAGGAUGAGUACAAUCAUCAUGCCUGCUCUACAGGAGGGAGCUGACACUCUCCGUGGUAACAAUGGUCACUCUCAUUUACAGACAAGGAACAGAGUGACCAGGCUAACAAAUGGCUGAUGCGAGGUUGAAUCCGUCUGAGCCAAAGCCUGUGACACGGCGCCCUAAGACAGAGGUUGGCAAAGUUUUUCUUUCUUUCUUGAGAUGGAGUCUCA